rnacentral:lncRNA from 1 species
UUUUAUAAUUAAAACAUUUAUAAAUAUUUAUAAUUAAAACAUUUAUAAUUACAUAUUUUAUAAUUAAAAUAUUUAUAAUUACAUAUUUUAUAAUUAAAGUAUUUAUAAUUACAUAUUUUAUAAUUAAAGUAUUUAUAAUUACAUAUUUUAUAAUUCAAUAUUUUAUAAAUAGUUAAAAAGACGAGGAAAAAAUUAAAAAGACGAGGUUAUUGAUCUCAGGAAUUGUAUUUGCCAAGUGAGAAGGAAAAAAUAUUCACAAAGGCUUGUACAUACUUUGAUCCUGAGGAACACCUCUGGUGUGUUCAUGUGCCACAUAGUCUUCCUCACUGACAGUCUGCCUUUGCAAGGCAAGGCUCUCCGGUAGGCCUCGAGAUGAAACAACAGGUCCUUUAUUUCACUCAGCCUGCCAGGAGUGGAGAAGGAAUGGCUAGGGAGUCCUAGCCCCAGGGGCUUCAUGGCAAUAGGGACCCCAGAUGUCUCCCUGGAGCUCUGCCAGGAUCCAUUCAAGGCCAAGAAAGUAUGAUUGGGAGAGGAGGGGUGGAGAUGUAGAUUCCUAACAAUUCUGUGACCCAGCAUACAUGUAUGCUCUUUAGGCUCUUAAGCAUCCUUAUUUUUCCAAACAUAAUAUCCAACAAUCCCAAGUGUAAUAAAAACCCAAGGGUUUCUCCUGCCACAUCCACUCACUUCAAACUCUGAUUUUAAACACUGGCAAUGUCCAGUCAGAGCCUCCAAGCUGAGCUCUAGAAAGAGAAAGCUGCAAAAAACCUGUGCAACAAAACUUGCACUCAUAUUACUGACAAGGGUAGAUAUAAAACAGCGCAUUCUUUUCCAUGACACUGAAGAGCAAAGAAGAGUGUAACUUGGGAGCAAUAAGAAAUUGGAGGUCACCACCUCCCAAAUCCUACAUGAGGUCUAUUUGGAAAAGACCUCCUUUUUUAAUUCAAAAAUCCUUCAACCUCCACCAUUCUUUCAUAAAGCUUCACAUUCUCUUGGUGAAGCCCACUGUUAAAAUGCACAGGCGUUACCUGGAAAAGGAAACACAUAGCCUUAACAAUAUUCUUCUGUACUGAACUGAAGAGUGAGAAAGAGUCUAUGGAGCUAUAAUACGGUAGUGUAUGAAUCUGGUACUCAAGGAAAGUCUGUUGGAUAAUGGAUGGAUGGAUGGAUGGAUGGGUGGGUGAGCGAAUAAAUGAGUGGAUAAAUGAGGGGUCAGUUUUGAGAGUGAGAGAAACAUGGAAAUUAGACUCAAAUCCCAAGGCACCACAUGGAAUAGUUCCAGGAAUAGUUCUGCAAGAGUUUCCCUGAUGAGCUAUAAGCAGCAAAAAUCUAGUGAGUGUUCAAACUGAAAGGAGGCCUGGAAUUGUGGCUUAAUUUGGAGGGAAAGAGGGAGUCCAAGAUUCCCAGUGCUUAUUUGUUGAUAUCUAUCUAGUGCUGAAAGGAAAAAAAAAUAGCCACAAAUCCAAAAGGAUUGUGCAGUCACAUGGUACCCACUGCCCAGUUCCUUGACCAGUGUCCCUCAUACAAAGGGCCCCUGAUGAGCUCAGAAUGUCUUUGUUGAACUGAAUGAAGUUUGAAGAACAAGGGA